rnacentral:lncRNA from 1 species
GUUUGAGGCUGGGCCUUGCUGCUAACAUGGGCACUGUAGGUACAGACAGGCCUUUGCUGGUUCUGGGCUCGCCUCCCCACAGCGCGUAGGAGAAAAGGGGCCAGGUGAGGAAUACAGAUUCUAUUAAAGUCCCUCCAGCUGGGCCCUGGGGCUACGGGUAAUUCUGUCACCCAGCGCUGCCUGGAGCAGACCCUCUCUGCUUUUGCUCCCCAGCCCUCUGAAGGCCAAGGCAUCCCAGGCCUUUCUUUUUUCUGCCUGCAGGUGGGCUUCAAGCAGCCUCAAGAGGAGUCUUUCCCAUGGCAGGACUCCCCAGGAGAGAGGCUUCCUCCUCACGCCACUUUGUCCUCUGGCAGCAACAAGUCUCAGGGGCUGAGGUAUCCCCUUCCCUUGCAAAUCCCAAGGGGGCACCUGAGGUGUUGCUUUUGGGUGGAGAGGGAGCACAGGCUCUCAGGCUGAUGAAAAUCUCCUGGGGGUGAGCGUUUACUGCUCUCCACAGCUGCCUCCCACCCCUCUGGGGGCCACUCUCCUGCUGACACCCAGCUCGGCACAACUGUUCCACCAAGACGGUGUCCACAAAUGCAUCCCCAAACGACAAGUGCAUGCAAAUCACCCAGUUACAGAAGCAAAUAGCAGUCCAGAGAGAAGAAGAGCCGGUGAGUGGCCCAAGCUAGGGACGAAAGGAAACAAGCUGAGAUUGCAGGUAGGGGGAGAGGGAGCUCUUUGGAGAGGCCCAGAGGCAGGAGGAGGCUAAAGAACAGUGAGGAGGUGGAGAAGAGGAGGCUCUGGGGGCUGCCGGGAGACAGAGGGUCCCAAUGACCUGGCAAAGGUAGACUGGUGUCAAGUGGAAUGGGAAGUAGAGGGAUGCAGAUCAAAGGGGCCCCGGCAGGGUCUAGAAGACUAAGUAUCAUUUCACUCCUCCCUGUACCUACUGUGUUCCAGGGGCUGGUCUGAAAUGCAGAGAAGGGAUACAGUCCUGUUCCUGGAGUAGUUCACAGCUGUGAAGGGCAGAGACAGGGCAGGACCCCAGAAUAUGGACCCCUGGCACAGGCUGGAAGGUGCAGGAGUAGUGGUUGGUGACCUGGAGAUGGUAGGACCCAGCUGAAUGUAUCCAGAGGGAGAAGUGGCAGACAUCCAAGUAGAGAAGGGGUCGGGGAGACCCAGGGAGCAGAGCAGCCAUGCAAAGGUGGAGAGGCAGGAGAGAGCCAGAGGGCUUGCUGGAGCUGCGGUGAGUACAAGCGUGUGUAUCGAAAUGCACAGAACAGCAAGAAGUGAGACAAGGCUGUCUAGGCAGGUAUAAAGCACUUGCCUUGCCAAAUGCCCUGUGUGCUCUGCUGUGAAUACUUGGAUGCAGUGGAGCACAUUCAGAUGACAGAGAGUGACAAGGUAAGAUUUGUGUUUUGAAGACAGUGUGGUGUGCUGGAAGACUGAAGCUAGAGGGCAGCUGGUUAGGAAGCCUUUGCAGUAUUUCAUGCUAGACGUGAUGGAGGCCGGACAAGAUACUAGUAACAGCCAUGCUUCCAUGCCAGGCAUUGUUCUCUGCCUCUUUACAGAGUAGUUCACUUGAUCAUCACAAUAGUACUGUAAAGUAGGCACCGUACUACUUUUAUGUCCACUUUGCAAGUCAGGAAACUCAGGCCCAGAGAAAUGAAGCAACAUGUUCAAGUUUCCUUAUUAAAGCCCCAGAGUUGGCCAGGCUCAGUGGCUCACACCUCAUUGCACUCCAGCCUGGGCAACAAGAGCGAAACUCUGUCGCAAAAAAAAAAAAAAAAAGAGAGAGAGAGAGGGGAAAGAAAGAAAGACAGACAGACAGACAGACAAAGAAAGAAAGAAAGAAAGAAAAGCCCCAGAGUCUGUGCUAAAUGGGAAGGCCCUGGCUGUCAGCAUGGUGAAGAGGAGACAGACAGGCAGAUGUCAAGGAGGAGCAGUCAGGCUGACCUGAAAGCUUCUUGGGAGUGGUGGGGAUAAGACAGAGGGAAAAAUCAAAGAUGAGGGUAAGGGAGAAUCCUGGGUCAAAUAGCUCCCCCGCCAAAUUCAUGUCCAGUUGGA